rnacentral:rRNA from 1 species
UACGAAGGGGGCUAGCGUUGCUCGGAAUCACUGGGCGUAAAGGGUGCGUAGGCGGGUCUUUAAGUCAGGGGUGAAAUCCUGGAGCUCAACUCCAGAACUGCCUUUGAUACUGAAGAUCUUGAGUUCGGGAGAGGUGAGUGGAACUGCGAGUGUAGAGGUGAAAUUCGUAGAUCUUCGCAAGAACACCAGUGGCGAAGGCGGCUGCCUGGCCUGUAACUGACGCUGAGACGCGAAAGCGUGGGGAGCGAACCGG